ACACAACCUGACUGGGUCUGUCUCCAGGCAUGGUGGUCAUCCACAUGGGAUUCCCUUGUGGAUGACCACCAUGCCUGGAGACAGACAGUCAGGUUGUGU